UUCUGUGUUUUAUAAUUUCAUAAUUACUAUGAUAUUUUUCCCUCUCAUCUAAGAUAUUCAUCAUUACAGGUUCAUUGUCCUAUCUUUUAUGUACUGUUAAAAUUUUAAAUUAGGAGAACCCAAUAUUUCUAGUGUUUUUAUUCUAGAGGAGAACCCAAUAUUUCUAGUGUUUUUAUUCUAGCCAAACUCAAAGGCCUCCAAUUAUGUUAGCCCUACAAUGGAGGAGCCGCUGUGCUUGAAAGCCCUUUUGGUAUCUCUACCCCCUCCUCCCUUUCCCUUACCCAAUGAAUCUCAUAAAUCAAUCCAUUCAUAUUUACUCUUCCUAAUUACUCUAAUAACAAUGCAUGAAGCAAUGCAGUUUUCCUAAUUACUCUAACAAAAAAUGCAUGAAGCAAAGCAGACGCUCAAAUUAUCCAAUGUGGAAGUUUAGAAAGUCUCUUGAUUGAUUCGAUGUACUGUUCAAUUAGCUCAACCAUUGAAUUCUCAUGCAAUAUACUUCCUCGCACUAAACGACUACCAAUAACCUUAUUUAACUUUUACGUAUUUUAUUUUAUUUUAUUUUAUUUUUUAUUUUUAAUAAUCGUUUUUUGGACAUUUUUUUUUUUCAAGUUUUCAAAGUAAUC
rnacentral:lncRNA from 1 species